rnacentral:lncRNA from 1 species
AGAGCUGUUAGAGCAGGGACGCGCGAAAGGCGGGAGUACGGGCGGCGCUGGAGAACCUCCGCGGCGGAGGGGCCUGGGGGUGGGACCGCGCCCGCGAGCCCGCCCUGACCGGGGUGCGUUCUACUGGCAGUUGCUGAGUUCGGAAGAUUAACUCUGAAUGUGGAGAGAUUAUUUUCUUGCUCGUAAACCUGGUUUACAUAUUUUCAUUCUUAAUGCUCAGUAAUCUUAAGGAAAGUCACCUGAAAGAAUACUUUUUCACCAAGUACUCUUCUGCGCCUGUUUGAAGGUGUCUGUGUGCUUGUGAAGCGCUCCCUUGUUAGUUCCUUCUGUGAGACUCGGGGGAGACUGAAGAGGGAAAUCACCUGCGGGGAAUGAACAGGAAAGCAAUAAGAAGAUUUGGAAAAGAGGCACUGGCUACUGGAGGAAGGGAGAAAUCACCGAGAGAGCGAAAGAUGUAACAGAAACAGGCUCUUGUUCUGUCACCCAUACUUGGAGUGCAGUGGUACAAUGAUAGCUCACUGCAGCCUCAAACUCCUGGUCUCAAGCAAUCCUCUCACCUCAGCCUCCCAGAAAAAAAAGGCCUUAUGAAGACAUUGCAAAAGGACAACUAUCUGCAAACCAGGAAGACAGACCUCACCAGAAAUCAACCCUGCUGGUGGUACCUUGAUCUUAGACUUCCAGCCUCCAGAAGUAUGAGAAA